rnacentral:rRNA from 1 species
UACGAAGGACCCGAGCGUUAUCCGGAUUUAUUGGGUUUAAAGGGUGCGUAGGCGGAUUAGUAAGUCAGUGGUGAAAGCCCAUCGCUUAACGGUGGAAUUGCCAUUGAUACUGCUAGUCUUGAGUAUGGUUGAGGUGGGCGGAAUGUGUCAUGUAGCGGUGAAAUGCUUAGAUAUGACCCAGAACACCAAUUGCGAAGGCAGCUCGCUAAACCAUAACUGACGCUGAUGCACGAAAGCGUGGGUAGCGAACAGG